rnacentral:rRNA from 1 species
UACAGAGGGUGCAAGCGUUGUUCGGAAUUAUUGGGCGUAAAGCGUGUCUAGGCGGCCUAAUUAGUCAGAUGUGAAAACCCACGGCUCAAUCGUGGCAUUGCCUCUGAAACGGUUAGGAUGGAGAGUGGUAGGAGAAAGCGGAAUUCCCAGUGUAGAGGUAAAAUUCGUAGAUAUUGGGAGGAACACCAGAAGCGAAAGCGGCUUUCUAGGCCAUUUCUGACGCUCAAGCACGAGAGCGUGGGGAGCAAACAGG